AGUACUUGGUGUUAUUUGGACAUAAAUUAUGAACUUUGUCAAAAGAAACCACAUUUGUUCCGGACCUGGGAUGCCUUCCGGACCUGGGAUGCCUGCCUUCUGAUGGAGAUAAUCAAAGGUUAUUAACCCCGGAGGAAUGAGGAGGUUCCGUGGGGAGAGUGUGGAGCCCAUCUAUAAAGGAGCCCGGCCCUUGAACAACACACCUCCAUACAAAACACACACAGAGCCUCCCUGAGAAGCAGCCAAACAGGCCCGGCUUCCAGGCGUAUCAACAUUCCAUGGGGCAUCCCUGGGCUCUGCUGGCUAAUAAAGCAGUCUGACGUGAGAGAUGGACAAGACUAGACCUCUAGGACGGCUUCAACUGAUCCACACAACACAAGGACACAAGAAACACAGGAGCAUGGAAUCACACACACACACACACACACACACACACACACACACACACACACACACACACACACACACACACACACACACACACACACACACACAAAGGCAUCAAGUAAUACAAACAACUGGACAUGUAACUAAAAGAUCCCACCAGAAGAACAGGAGAUUGCUUGGGGAGAUGAAUGUCUGUCAGUUCUAGGCUGUAUGAGUGUCAACUCAACCUCUGCCACUGGCUCAGAGACUCUAAGAAAGAGCCCUCUGCAGAUCCCAUCAACAACUCAUUUAAAUGGAGGCAUCUUGCCAAACCCGUUGUGAGAGUGUUGCCAUUUGUCUUCUAUCUAAAGGACUUCCUUUGCUUUAUUGCCUUGUUCAAGUGCUAGAUGGAACUAGGAAACUCAGAAAUGUCCAACUUGCUAACUGGUUGAACACAGCAUGUGUAUAACUACAACCAGUUAGCAAGUCGAAAAAGUCUGUUUCCUAGUCCCGACUAGCACGUGAACACAGCAUUAGUUCAGCAAAAACAAGCCAUUAUCUCAUUCCUCAGGGGAUUCAGAGGACCAUGCCUGCCCUCUGCUGUACAAACAUGGAACUGAGGCACUGAGGAAGCCUUGUAAUAUGCUUCACAGUUAUACACAAAAACAGAAAAAGAGUAAUGCUGUCAUUUCUGUAUAGUUGUUGCAUAGGCUAAAAAGGGCAUCUCUUCCUUCUGAAAAAGCAUCUUCUUAGCCUGCCUAAAACAGUGCAAUACGCUUUUGUAUCUCUCUUGCAUGAAAUAAAACAAAAAU